AUCUGGAAACCCAAGCAUCAGAGAGACAAUUUUGCAGCUGAAGAAAAGAGUUGAACAGCAGAUUCGAAAUGGGGAUCUAGAUGAUGAUGUGUUCUUGAAGGGUUCCACCUUUGACAAAUUGUUGAAAGAGCACUCAUUAACAAACUUGGAUCAAAAUGAUAUAUUUCGGGGAUCAUGGAGUUGAUCAUCAAGGAGACUUUGCAUGUGUAAUAAAAAAUAUUGUUAUCAUGUGUAAGCCUUGUGAUGGGUGUUCAAAUUGCCCAAUGUUGCUCCGUAACACAACUAAUAGCUUACAAUUUUGUUCAUAUCUUGUUACGCUUCAGUACAAUUUUAAUACUGCGGUUCUAAAAAGCACAAGUCCUUGUUCUUGCAGUCAUUACGCACUUGCUUGUUCUUUAAACUGUCAUCAUUGUUGUAUGCGGCCAAAAAGCAAGGAGCAGAACAAAAUUAUCCAAAAAGCAAUUUCUCACCAUCCUCAUUUGAAAAAUUAUUUAAGUUUG
rnacentral:misc_RNA from 1 species